AGACAGAUUACUUGACAAGUACAGAAAACCUGAAUUAAAUGCCAUUUGUAUGGAAAAUUGGUCCAGUCUCACGAAGAAACUCUUGAAGGCUCUUCCAUAUUCCCUUACUUCUAGUCAGCUAAGUGCUGUUUCAGAGAUUAUAUGGGAUCUAAAACGACCUGUUCCUAUGAAUCGACUUUUGCAGGGUGAUGUUGGAUGUGGGAAAACAGUGGUUGCUUUUUUGGCAUGUAUGGAAGUUGUUGGCUCUGGUUAUCAGGCUGCUUUCAUGGUUCCAACUGAAUUGCUUGCGGUGCAACAUUAUGAGCACUUGCUUAAUUUGCUAGAGGCAAUGGAGGAUGACCAAUCCAAACCUUCAAUUGCUCUACUAACAGGUUCAACACCAUUAAAACAGUCACGGAUGAUUCGUAAGGAUCUCCAAGCGGGAGAAAUUUCCUUGGUCAUUGGAACCCACAGUUUAAUAUCUGAAAAUGUAGAAUUCUCUGCUUUGCGUAUAGCUGUGGUGGAUGAGCAACAUCGCUUUGGUGUGAUCCAGAGAGGAAGGUUUAAUAGUAAGUUAUAUUAUAGCUCUUUAAGUUCAAGAAUAGCAGCAACCAGUUCUGAUGGGUCCUCAAAGAGCGAUGGCUAUAUGGCCCCACACGUUCUUGCUAUGUCAGCCACUCCCAUCCCAAGGACACUUGCUUUGGCCUUGUAUGGGGACAUGUUCCUAACACAAAUAACUGACUUGCCUCCUGGAAGAAUUCCAGUUGAAACAUGCAUUAUUAUAGGAAAUAGCCAGGGCUUUGAGGAUGCCUACAAGAUGAUGCUAGAUGAAUUAGAAGCAGGGGGAAGAGUGUAUCUUGUUUAUCCAGUCAUUGAACAAUCUGAGCAACUGCCUCAGCUUCGUGCUGCUUCUGCUGAUCUAGAAGCUAUAUCAGAGAGGUUUCAAGGUUACAACUGUGGGUUGUUACAUGGUAGAAUGAAGAGUGAUGAAAAAGAUGAAGCACUAAGACGAUUUAGAUCUGGGGAAACUCACAUACUCCUUUCCACUCAAGUAAUUGAGGUUGGUGUUGAUGUUCCAGAUGCCACCAUGAUGGUUGUUAUGAAUGCUGAGAGAUUUGGAAUGGCUCAAUUGCACCAACUCAGAGGACGAGUUGGACGUGGAGCGAGGAAGUCGAAAUGUGUAUUGCUAGCAUCAACAAUCAGUAGCCUUAACCGAUUAAAGGUGCUGGAGAAGUCAUCAGAUGGUUUCUACUUGGCAAAUGCUGAUCUUCUUUUACGUGGACCUGGUGAUUUGCUUGGUAAAAAGCAAUCCGGACACCUUCCAGAGUUUCCUGUUGCAAGGUUGGAGAUAGAUGGGAAUAUUUUGCAAGAAGCACAUGCUGCUGCUCUGAAAGUUCUAGGUGAUUCUCAUGAUUUGGAGCGAUUUCCAGCAUUGAAGGCAGAGCUUAGCAUGAGGCAACCACUUUGUCUUCUCGGAGAUUGAGUUAGAGCUAUGACAGAAUCCUGAAUUCAUGUGCAAGACAAUGCCUGCUGUUGCAUAAAGGGAUAAUCAGGCUUUUGCAAUCCCCCUAAAAUCUUGGUCAAUUUUGUAUACUCUCUUUUGGUGGAAAAAACUGAUGAUUUUAAUUUAGGCAAUUAUAUUUCAUUACUUCCAUGUAAAUGUUAUGGUGAUAGUUUCUAGUCCCUCCUUGUAUUUCUAAUAGGAAACUAAGGUAGUUUCC
rnacentral:misc_RNA from 1 species